rnacentral:tRNA from 1 species
GGCGCUGUAGCUCAACUGAAUAGAGCAUCUGACUACGGAUCAGAAGGUUUUGGGUUUGAAUCCCAACAGCGUCA